GACGAACGCUGGCGGCGUGCUUAACACAUGCAAGUCGAACGGAAAGGCCCUGCUUUUGUGGGGUGCUCGAGUGGCGAACGGGUGAGUAACACGUGAGUAACCUGCCCUUGACUUUGGGAUAACUUCAGGAAACUGGGGCUAAUACCGGAUAGGAGCUCCUGCUGCAUGGUGGGGGUUGGAAAGUUUCGGCGGUUGGGGAUGGACUCGCGGCUUAUCAGCUUGUUGGUGGGGUAGUGGCUUACCAAGGCUUUGACGGGUAGCCGGCCUGAGAGGGUGACCGGCCACCUUGGGACUGAGAUACGGACCAGACUCCUACGGGAGGCAACAGUGGAGAAUAUUACACAAUGGGGGGAAGCCUGAGGCAGCAACGCCGCGUGCGGGAUGACGGCCUUCGGGUUGUAAACCGCUUUCGCCUGUGACGAAGCGUGAGUGACGGUAAUGGGUAAAGAAGCACCGGCUAACUACGUG
rnacentral:rRNA from 1 species